GACCCUGGCCUGAACAAGAGGGAUAGGAAGGAGAGCCUUCGGCACCUAAUUCCUGAAUGUAAGAUGGAACAGUCACCUGAAAGUCUUCCUCAGAAUAACAAUCCAGAAUACAAAUAUUUAAACAUACCGUUGGGGCCAGCCACAAUGGCACAUGCCUGUAAUCUC